UGGACUGGCUACUAAUUUCGUAGCUACCUUUGUCUCGAACGCUACUAUGGCAACUAAUCUUCCUGCAACAAAGUCCACCACCACAACGACGUCGUUACAGGAGAAACGACACCGUUCUAUCUUCGAAGUUCCACCGAACUUCUUCGAUUGUUGUCGCCUUCUCCCUUCUCCUCACUCAUCCGUUUCCGACCACCACAGCGUAUCCAGAACCCAAACCCUCGAACCAUCCUCAAACGACGACGUCGUUUUGGAUGCCCCUCAAAACACCGUCGUUUCCGUGCCUAGGUGGACCUGCAAUACCGGCAAGACUCAAUUCGAUUCCCUUCAGGACUAGCGUUCCCAUUUCAAAUCCGGCAUUCAUCGAUUCAACAUAAGAUUCAAUCACUCUAGAACAGUCCUCUUCUCAGUGAAUUUUCGUAAAAUUUAGAAUACCCAUUUUUGCAUUUAGAAAGAAAUUUUUUGAAAUUAGACUCAUAAAAAAGAAAAAUUUUGAAAUUUCAAUUUUGUUUUAUCCUUCUUUUCAAAAAUAAAAAAUAAAAAUCCUGAGUGGUUCUAUUUUCAGUGAAAUUAGGUAAAAUUUAGAAUACCAGCUAAAACUUAUUCCGAUUGUGUUGUUUUUUGGAAACUUAAUAUGCUUAUGUUUAAAUUCAAAAUGUUAACACAAUGACAAUGUGCAUUGUGGUUUAGGGAUAUGAGUAAAUUCUAGUGGUUAUCCUUUAGCUUCUAUAAUGGGGUUGUAUUGAUUAUAGGUGAAGCUGACAAUUGCUGGAAAAAACAUUGUGAAGGAAGAAGAUUUUAAGGUUCUGACAUCUGAAUUUGUCAAAGACUAUGACGUGUCGAGUAUAUCGGGAUAAAAAAUUGACGAUGAUAGUGAAACUGAGUCUCAGAGUCAAAGUGUAUUGUGUGACAAAUCGAGUGAAAGUUUUAAACAGAAACUAUUCUUCCGUCCUUAGACAAGACAGAGAGUUUCUGUCUAGAAGUGUUUGAUUAUGAAUGUGACUGAAAAUGUAUCGUAUGAUAAUUAAACGGCAGAGAAUGAAGUGGUUGAGAAGUUGAAAUCUUUGACUGCUGAGCCUAGAGACAAUACCUAUUUGAGGAUUGUUCUGGUUGCGUCUGGUGGGCACUUCGCAGAUAUGUUGUAAGGGCAAAGGCAGGAAAAAAACAAUCACCUAAAGAUGCUUCUGGCAGGGCUGCUCAUUCUGCUGGGGGCUUCACUUCGUCGAUAUAACGAAAUUGCAUUAAAGACUCUUUCAGUGUUGAUGAUCCUAGUGAAAAUCAUACUUCAAUAUUUUUUGACGCAAAAGGGGAUGGCAAGGAUUCAGAAGCUUCGUUUUCAAACUCCACUCGUCCUCUGACAGAAAGCGAGAAAUCCGAGUUGAUAUUUAAAAACCAUUUCCUUACCAUACUAUUACCAAUCAACCGAUUUGCUGAGAUGGGUCCUUCUUCAAGAACGUUUUUCAGCCAUAAUGGUUUUACAUGUCUUCAGGUGUUGGAUCAUAUCCGUGCAUUUUAUCAGGAGAACAUGUCAAGGCAAGAAAUAGGAGCUGCAAUUCAUAGUGAUUCAAGACACGCUGAUAGGAUUAGAUCAAUGUUUAAAAUACCUUUCUAUCCCAAUAGUAUCAGAUUUGACUUCCUAAUACAUCAACCCACAAACGUAAAAAGAAUAAUUUUAUUGAUCAAAUAGAGUAAUUGACAUUUAGCCAACAUACAGAGGCUGCUAAACAUUCAAUAAAAAAAUGGAACCUCAUAUAAUGACAUUAACAUUUGAUAAAAAAAAAAGUUAAAAAUAACACACUAAACUAAACCAAUUGAAAAGGUUGAAAACAAAAUAAAUAGAUACAGAGAAAGAAAAAUAAAAGUGAAAAUAGUAGGUGUAUAAAUAUAGCAAACAUUCCAAGGCUCUAACCCAAAGCUGGAUUUUGCAUGCUCUUCUCUUCACAAUAAUAAGCACCACUCAAACAGAUACCAUUUUUGAAACCCCUUAUUCUCUGUUUUCUCCUCUGCUUCCAUUCUGCAUCCACCUCUUUCUCUCUUAUGUGUUUCUUUGUCUCUCUUGGUCCCUCACCAAAUGUAAAGAAGGAUUUUCUCACACCCCGCACCAUUAGUCCUUCUUUCAAAUUUUAGGUGUGGUUACUAGUAUUUUGGAUUUUGGAAUAAACACUCCCAUAACAGAAUACCAUGUCCAUUUAAGGUAACCUUUCAUAAUUUGAUUUUUUUCCCUUUUAAAAAACCACCUCCUUCUCAUGUGCCGAGAAAAUAAAGCAGAACACUUAAUAGAAAAUUAAGAAAAAUAAGUAAAUUUACCAGACAAGGAAGCAACUUUGGAUUUUAUUUGUUUUGUUUAUUUAUGUGCAUCAAAUUUUAAUCUGUCUACAUAGGAACUUCGAUUAUGAAGAGUUAGUUGCUGCUACUAGUGAUUUUAGUUCUGGUAUGAAUCAACUCCCUCUUUCUCUCUCUCUCUGUUUUUUAAUAGUAAUUUGGUGAAGAAUUUUAGUCUUUUUUUAAUAGGAGAUAUAAGUUCCCCUCCUAAGUUUAUAUGUAAAAAAAGAUUAUUUAUUGAGAAAGUUCAUCUUAUUAAGAAAAUAAGAAAUUACUGUAGUUCUCAACUUCCUGUUAGGGUGACCAAGUUCGCCCAAUGAUAUAAGUUUACAAGUUGUUUGGUACUAUAUUUAUCAGUCAGUCACCGUUAGCUGAAGAAAAGAAACGUGAAUCCGAUUCAUUUUCUCUUUUGGUGUCUCUUUUAUAAUUAAUCAUGUAGCAUUUCAUUUUUAUAACUAGCAUAUACUCUCGUGAUAUUAGAUAAUGUAUCUGUUGGAUCAAGUGGCCUCGGAAUAAUUAAGAA